CAGUCGCCGCGGGAAUACAGAGGGUGCAAGCGUUAAUCGGAAUUAAUGGGCGUAAAGCGCGCGUAGGUGGUUUGUUAAGUUGGAUGUGAAAGCCCCGGGCUCAACCUGGGAACUGCAUCCAAAACUGGCAAGCUAGAGUACGGUAGAGGGUGGUGGAAUUUCCUGUGUAGCGGUGAAAUGCGUAGAUAUAGGAAGGAACACCAGUGGCGAAGGCGACCACCUGGACUGAUACUGACACUGAGGUGCGAAAGCGUGGGGAGCAAACAGGAUUAGAUACCCCUGUAGUCCCUGUCUCUUAUAC
rnacentral:rRNA from 1 species